UGGACUUCCCAGGCAGCUUUCCACUUAGUUAACUUGCCCAACCUGCUCUGUCGACUCUGGGCAGAGCCCUGCCUGAACUUCCCUGCUCCAGCGAACUGUGGGAGAUGCCAAAACAGCACCCGGCUGCCCACCACAAUUACCAGAAGGGCCCCAGUUCCUGGCUUCUCUGUGGCUCAGACUCUGGUCCUAUCGCCUACACUUGGGAACUCUGUGCAUCCUCUUUCUCCUUUCUGCUGAGGUGGUGGCUGCACUGAGUUGCCUCUGUCUCUUUAAGAGAGAAAGAGAGAGCAAGAGACGGAAAUCAGGAAGUAUAAGAGAGCCGAGAGCCAGGACUCAGGACUGAGCUUGGUUUUUCACCGCCACAGGGAGGCAGGGAAGAAACCCGCUAGUCCCAGCUCCUGCGGUGGCACAGGCCAUCGCAACUGGCCCUGUCUGUGGGUCCUAGGGGCCCUUGGCCACCAGGAGGCUAAGAAUACUGCCCAUGAAUGACAGCAAGCCCUGAGGGCUCUGGGGGUGCCACCCAGUUCCACAAGCCUGCAUCCCCUGCAGUGGAGAUGGGCUCUGUGCCUGGACGUGCCACAGACAGAAAACACAACACACGCUUGCCAGGAAGAGCCUUUGCCUGACUCAGGGCGGCUCAGAGUGUGGGGCGGAAGGUGACCAGCCAGGCCAGGGCAGGAGAUGCAGAGCACCGCCAAUUACCUGUGGCACACAGAUGACCUGCUGGGGCAGGGGGCCACUGCCAGUGUGUACAAGGCCCGCAACAAGAAAUCCGGGGAGCUAGUUGCUGUGAAGGUCUUCAAUACCGUCAGCUACCUGCGGCCCCGAGAGGUGCAGGUGAGGGAGUUUGAGGUCCUGCGGAAGCUGAACCACCAGAACAUCGUCAAGCUCUUUGCAGUGGAGGAGACGGGGGGCAGCCGGCAGAAGGUGCUGGUGAUGGAAUACUGCUCCAGUGGGAGCCUGCUGAGCAUGCUGGAGAGCCCGGAGAAUGCCUUCGGGCUGCCGGAGGAUGAAUUCCUGGUGGUGCUGCGCUGUGUGGUGGCAGGCAUGAACCACCUGCGGGAGAACGGCAUUGUGCAUCGCGACAUCAAGCCUGGGAACAUCAUGCGGCUCAUGGGGGAGGAGGGGCAGAGCAUCUACAAGCUGACCGACUUCGGGGCCGCCCGGGAGCUGGAUGAUGAUGAGAAGUUCGUCUCGGUCUAUGGGACUGAGGAGUACCUGCACCCGGACAUGUAUGAGCGGGCAGUGCUUCGAAAGCCCCAGCAAAAAGCAUUCGGGGUGACUGUGGAUCUCUGGAGCAUUGGCGUGACCCUGUACCAUGCAGCCACCGGCAGCCUGCCCUUUAUUCCCUUUGGUGGGCCACGUCGGAACAAGGAGAUCAUGUACCGGAUCACCACAGAGAAGCCAGCUGGGGCCAUUGCUGGUACUCAGAGGCGGGAGAACGGUCCCUUGGAGUGGAGCUACACCCUCCCCAUCACCUGCCAGCUGUCACUGGGGCUGCAGAGCCAGCUGGUACCCAUCCUGGCCAACAUCCUGGAGGUGGAGCAGGCCAAGUGCUGGGGCUUCGACCAGUUCUUUGCGGAGACCAGUGACAUCCUGCAGCGAGUUGUCGUCCAUGUCUUCUCCCUGUCCCAGGCAGUCCUGCACCACAUCUACAUCCAUGCCCACAACACGAUAGCCAUUUUCCAGGAGGCUGUGCACAAGCAGACCAGCGUGGCCCCCCGGCACCAGGAGUACCUCUUUGAGGGUCACCUCUGUGUCCUCGAGCCCAGCAUCUCAGCACAGCACAUCGCCCACACAACAGCAAGCAGCCCUCUGACCCUCUUCAGCACAGCCAUCCUCAAGGGGCUGGCCUUCAGGGAUCCUGCUCUGGAUGUCCCCAAGUUCGUCCCCAAAGUGGACCUGCAGGCAGAUUACAACACGGCCAAGGGCGUGUUGGGAGCCGGCUACCAGGCCCUGCGGCUGGCGCGGGCCCUGCUGGAUGGGCAGGAGCUGAUGUUGCAGGGGCUGCACCAGGUCUUGGAGGUGCUCCAGGCCACAUGCAGGCGGACUCUGGAGGUGGCGAGGACAUCCCUCCUCUUCCUUAGCAGCAGCCUGGGCACUGAGAGGUUCAGCAGCAUGGCUGGAACACCUGAGAUCCAGGAACUCAAGGCAGCCACAGAACUGAGGUCCAGGCUGCGGACUCUAGCUGAGGUCCUCUCCAGAUGCUCCCAAAAUAUCAUAGAGACCCAGGAGAGCCUGAGCAGCCUGCGCUUGGAGUUGGUGAAGAGCCGGGAUCAGGUACAUGAGGAAAGAAGCAUCCAGCAGAUUCAGUGCUGUGUGGACAAGAUGAACCUCAUCUACAAACAGUUCAAGAAGUCUAGGAUGAGGCCAGGGCUCGGCUACAACGAGGAGCAAAUUCACAAGCUGGAUAAGGUGAAUUUCAGUCAUUUAGCCAAAAGGCUUCUGCAGGUGUUCCAAGAGGAGUGCGUGCAGAAGUAUCAAGCGUCCCUAGUCACGCACGGCAAGAGGAUGAGGGUGGUGCACGAGACCAGGAACCACCUGCGCCUGGUCGGCUGUUCUGUGGCUGCCUGUAACACAGAAGCCCAGGGGGUCCAGGAGAGUCUCAGCAAGAUCCUGGAAGAGCUCUCUCACCAGCUCCUUCAGGACCGAGCACGGGGGGCUCUGGCCUCCUCACCGCCCAUAUCUCCUCAUCCCAGCCCUACACCAAAGGACCUGCUUCUCCACAUGCAAGAGCUCUGCCAGGGGAUGAAGCUGCUGGCAUCUGACCUUCUGGACAACAACCGCACCAUCGAACGGUGAGGGGCCUUCACCUUGCGUGCGGCAGCGCUGCGUCUUCAAGCUCCCUCUGCCUGGGCGCGGAGAGUCCCCAAGCCUGCCCAUACCAGUGUGAUGGCGCUUGUCCAUUUUCCGAGCAGCCCUGUUGAAGGGCCCUGUCCACAAGUGAGCUGACAUCCUCAGGAGGCUAAGUAGAGUCCCAGCAGCUCCUGAUGUCUGAGCUCCAUGGGGCGUGUGAGGCAUCCUGAAGCAUUAGAAUGACUUGAACACUGCUCUCCCGCACUGUGAGACCAACCCAGGACAAGAUCCUGUCCCAUCACAUCAGCCUACCUCCCUCCUGGCUGCUGGCUGGGAUGUCGCCAGCAUUACCUUCCACUGCCUUUCUCCCUGGGAAGUGGCACAGCUGAGAUUGGGCACCAGGCCACCUCUGUUGGGACCCACGGGAGAGCAUGACAGACACUGCCUGGGCUGACCUUUCCAUCUCAUCCAGGCGCAGGUAUUGCUCCUCCGUGCCCCUGGCUUGGCCAUGGGAAGAAGAGGCUCCCAUACGCCCUCCCAUUCCCUCUGGUUUGUAGAGCUUCACUCCGUAGCCAGCAGGAGAGGUGGCCCCUGGGGAGUCCCCAGGGUACUAGGUCAGGUGACCUCGUCACAAUCUUCCUUCCCCUUCAAGCGUUUCAUGUUGAACACAGCAGUCUCUGUUCCCCUGUGAUUUCCGAGGGUCACCCUUCUCAGCCCCAGGCAACAUAGAGCCUCCUGUUUUUUCUAGGCUUGGUCUGAUGUUGAGAAAAUGGGUGGCCAGGGCCAGUGCCAGGGCCGUGGGCUCCCCCUUUUCCUCUCCCUCCCUCCCUGAGGCUCUGGCCAGUCCUGGGACAUGCAGCCAGUGGCAAAAGGCCUGUGACUUCAGGCAGAUCCAAGGCCUGCACCUUCAAGAAGUGGAAUAAAUGUGGCCUUCAUUUCUGUU